GGCGAACGGGUGAGUAACACGUGAGCAAUCUGCCCUUGACUCUGGGAUAACUGCGGGAAACUGUAGCUAAUACCGGAUGCGGCACCUUGGGGCAUCCCGGGGUGUGGAAAGAAUUUUGGUCAAGGAUGAGCUCGCGGCCUAUCAGCUAGUUGGUGAGGUAAAGGCUCACCAAGGCGACGACGGGUAGCCGGCCUGAGAGGGUGACCGGCCACACUGGAACUGAGAUACGGUCCAGACUCCUACGGGAGGCAGCAGUGGGGAAUAUUGCACAAUGGGCGAAAGCCUGAUGCAGCAACGCCGCGUGAGGGAUGAAGGCCUUCGGGUUGUAAACCUCUUUUAGCAGGGAAGAAGCGAAAGUGACGGUACCUGCAGAAAAAGCACCGGCUAACUACGUGCCAGCAGCCGCGGUAAUACGUAGGGUGCAAGCGUUGUCCGGAAUUAUUGGGCGUAAAGAGCUCGUAGGCGGUUUGUCGCGUCUGCUGUGAAAAUCCAAGGCUCAACCUCAGACCUGCAGUCGAUACGGGCAAACUAGAGUGUGGUAGGGGAGACUGGAAUUCCUGGUGUAGCGGUGGAAUGCGCAGAUAUCAGGAGGAACACCAAUGGCGAAGGCAGGUCUCUGGGCCAUAACUGACACUGAGGAGCGAAAGUGCGGGGAGCGAACAGGAUUAGAUACCCUGGUAGUCCGCACCGUAAACGGUGGGCACUAGUUGUGGGAACCUUCCACGGUUUCCGCGACGCAGCAAACGCAUUAAGUGCCCCGCCUGGGGAGUACGAUCGCAAGAUUAAAACUCAAAGGAAUUGACGGGGCCCCGCACAAG
rnacentral:rRNA from 1 species